GGGGGGAGGGGAAAGGUGGUCUACUCCCUACGGGUUGGUGGCCUGCGGUGGCCGCAGAAGAUCCGACCGAGGGAGUUGAGGCGGCCCUUCCUUCUGGUGAAUGGCAUUGACAGAGAAAGGGGCUCUGUUCUUAUCGUUGGUGGGAACCAAUGAAGAGAAAAGAGAAUCUGGUGAAACUGAGAGAGAGGAGAGACAAGAAACUGGACCGUGGCUUUGGCGGCAGGGGUAAAGCCGAGGCUCUGAUACCAAGCUGAUGUAGCACAACUACAAGGAAAGAGGAGAAGGAGGAAGAACAAGGGAGGGAGAAGGAAGAAGAGGUUAUAGAGACACAGGAAAAAGAAAAGAGGAGGAAGAAGAAGAAGAAUAAGCAGGCUAGGGUUUUUUUUUCAUUCAAUCAUCAAUUGCCUCGUACAUGAAAGGGGUGGUCUUUAUAUAAACCUUAC
rnacentral:lncRNA from 1 species